rnacentral:rRNA from 1 species
UACAGAGGUCCCAAGCGUUGUUCGGAUUCACUGGGCGUAAAGGGUGCGUAGGCGGUCGGGUAAGUCUGAUGUGAAAUCUCACAGCUUAACUGUGAAACUGCAUUGGAUACUAUCCGGCUCGAGGAAUGGAGGGGAGACUGGAAUACUUGGUGUAGCAGUGAAAUGCGUAGAGAUGCGGAGGAACACCGAUGGCGAAGGCAGCCCCCUGGGCUAACACUGACGCUCAGGCACGAAAGCGUGGGGAGCAAACAGG